rnacentral:rRNA from 1 species
UACGUAGGUGGCAAGCGUUGUCCGGAAUUAUUGGGCGUAAAGCGCGCGCAGGCGGUCCUUUAAGUCUGAUGUGAAAGCCCACGGCUCAACCGUGGAGGGUCAUUGGAAACUGGGGGACUUGAGUGCAGGAGAGAAGAGUGGAAUUCCACGUGUAGCGGUGAAAUGCGUAGAGAUGUGGAGGAACACCAGUGGCGAAGGCGACUUCCUGGCCUGUUCUUGACGCUGAGGCGCGAAAGCUAGGGUAGCAAACGGG